rnacentral:rRNA from 1 species
GCCUGUUUUAUCAAAAACAUAACUAUAUGACAUAAUAUAUAGCUUUUCUGCUCAAUGGUACGCUAAAUAGCCGCAGUACUCUGACUGUGCAAAGGUAGCAUAAUCAAUUGGCUUUUAAUUAAAGUCUGGGAUGAAAGAAAGCAUGGGUGGCAACUGUCUUACUGUUAUAUUAAAUUGAAGUUAGUAAGCAAGUGAAAAUACUUGCAAUUUAAAAAAGACGAGAAGACCCUAGAAACUUAUAUAAUUAUUUUGUUGGGGCGACAGAAUUACAAAUAACUAAUUUUAUUGUACAUGACGUUAUCAGGUAGAUUAAGUUACUCUAGGGAUAACAGCAUAAUUUUUAUAGUUUGUGACCUCGAUGUUGGACUAGGUAAAUAAUUUUUUAGAAGAAAGUUUAAACGCUCUGUUCGAGCAAUGGAACCUACAUGAUCAGAGUUCCAGACCG